rnacentral:rRNA from 1 species
UGGGGAAUAUUGCACAAUGGGCGCAAGCCUGAUGCAGCAACGCCGCGUGAGGGACGACGGCCUUCGGGUUGUAAACCUCUUUUGGCAGGGAAGAAGCGAAAGUGACGGUACCUGCAGAAAAAGCACCGGCUAACUACGUGCCAGCAGCCGCGGUGAUACGUAGGGUGCAAGCGUUGUCCGGAAUUAUUGGGCGUAAAGAGCUCGUAGGCGGUUUGUCGCGUCUGCUGUGAAAACCCGAGGCUCAACCUCGGGCCUGCAGUGGGUACGGGCAAACUAGAGUGCGGUAGGGGUGAUUGGAAUUCCUGGUGUAGCGGUGGGAUGCGCAGAUAUCAGGAGGAACACCGAUGGCGAAGGCAGAUCUCUGGGCCGUAACUGACGCUGAGGAGCGAAAGCAUGG